rnacentral:ncRNA from 1 species
UUUAUCUGGGGUGCCCACUUGGCUGAGAUUAGACCCAUCGAACCUGUCUAGGUAAUACUAGCGAAGGAAGCG